GAUGAACGCUGGCGGCAGGCUUAACACAUGCAAGUCGAACGAGAAACCAGGAGCUUGCUCCUGGCGGAAAGUGGCGCACGGGUGCGUAACACGUAGAUAACCUACCCUCUAUUGGGGAAUAACUUCGCGAAAGCGAAGCUAAUACCGCAUAUUGUCUUUUAACCGCAUGGUAAAAAGAUUAAAGCUCAGGCGAUAGGGGAUGGAUCUGCGGCGGAUUAGCUAGUUGGUGAGGUAAAGGCUCACCAAGGCAACGAUCCGUAGCUGGUCUGAGAGGAUGAUCAGCCACACUGGCACUGAGACACGGGCCAGACUUCUACGGAAGGCAGCAGUGAGGAAUAUUGGACAAUGGGCGAAAGCCUGAUCCAGCCAUGCCGCGUGCAGGAUGACACCCCUCUGGGGCGUAAACUGCUUUUAUUUGAGAAGAACAACCCCUACGUGUAGGGAUCUGACGGUAUCAUUUGAAUAAGGACCGGCUAACUCCG
rnacentral:rRNA from 1 species